AGCAUGGUGUUGAUGAAUACAAAGGAAUUUUAAUGAAUAUGAAAUCUCAGCAUUGGUGCGUGUAGCCUACGACUAUGGAACAAUUUCAUCAUUUACUGUGUUCAAAUCAAAAUGCAAGGGAUCAUUAUUUCCAAUUUCAACUCAAUAAACCUGAUUUUUCAUUCCUAAAACCAGCUUUGAACCUAAACUUUACCAUCCCUUGCCUAUGAGCCAUAACCAGUCAAGUGUGACCCCUGCAAAGAUACC
rnacentral:lncRNA from 1 species